rnacentral:rRNA from 1 species
UAGGGAAUCUUCGGCAAUGGACGAAAGUCUGACCGAGCAACGCCGCGUGAGUGAAGAAGGUUUUCGGAUCGUAAAACUCUGUUGUUAGAGAAGAACAAGGACGUUAGUAACUGAACGUCCCCUGACGGUAUCUAACCAGAAAGCCACGGCUAACUACGUGCCAGCAGCCGCGGUAAUACGUAGGUGGCAAGCGUUGUCCGGAUUUAUUGGGCGUAAAGCGAGCGCAGGCGGUUUCUUAAGUCUGAUGUGAAAGCCCCCGGCUCAACCGGGGAGGGUCAUUGGAAACUGGGAGACUUGAGUGCAGAAGAGGAGAGUGGAAUUCCAUGUGUAGCGGUGAAAUGCGUAGAUAUAUGGAGGAACACCAGUGGCGAAGGCGGCUCUCUGGUCUGUAACUGACGCUGAGGCUCGAAGCGUGGGGAGCAAACAGG